rnacentral:misc_RNA from 1 species
AAGUCGUAACAAGGUUUCCGUAGGUGAACCUGCGGAAGGAUCAUUAUUGAUUUUGACCUCCGGGUCUUUAUUAUCCAUACCCCUGUGAACCUGUCGGCCUCCGGGCCCAUUUCCAAACACUGUGUAAUGAACGUGAUGUAUCUUAACAAGUAAAA